rnacentral:rRNA from 1 species
UACGAAGGGGGCUAGCGUUGUUCGGAAUCACUGGGCGUAAAGGGCGCGUAGGCGGCUUUAUAAGUCGGGGGUGAAAGCCUGUGGCUCAACCACAGAAUUGCCUUCGAUACUGUAGAGCUUGAGACCGGAAGAGGUAAGUGGAACUGCGAGUGUAGAGGUGAAAUUCGUAGAUAUGGGGGAGGAACACCGGUGGCGAAGGCGGCCAUCUGGACCGUAACUGACGGCUGAGGCACGAAAGCGUGGGG